AUUGAACGCUGGCGGCAGGCCUAACACAUGCAAGUCGAGCGGAUGACGGGAGCUUGCUCCUUGAUUCAGCGGCGGACGGGUGAGUAAUGCCUAGGAAUCUGCCUGGUAGUGGGGGACAACGUUUCGAAAGGAACGCUAAUACCGCAUACGUCCUACGGGAGAAAGCAGGGGACCUUCGGGCCUUGCGCUAUCAGAUGAGCCUAGGUCGGAUUAGCUAGUAGGGGAGGUAAUGGCUCACCGAGGCGACGAUCCGUAACUGGUCUGAGAGGAUGAUCAGUCACACUGGAACUGAGACACGGUCCAGACUCCUACGGGAGGCAGCAGUGGGGAAUAUUGGACAAUGGGCGAAAGCCUGAUCCAGCCAUGCCGCGUGUGUGAAGAAGGUCUUCGGAUUGUAAAGCACUUUAAGUUGGGAGGAAGGGCAGUAAGUUAAUACCUUGCUGUUUUGACGUUACCGACAGAAUAAGCACCGGCUAACUCUGUGCCAGCAGCCGCGGUAACAC
rnacentral:rRNA from 1 species